rnacentral:rRNA from 1 species
AAAGAAACUAACAAGGAUUCCCUCAGUAACGGCGAGUGAAGCGGGAAGAGCUCAAAUUUGAAAUCUCCGGUGCUUGCAUCGGCGAGUUGUAGUUGCGAGAAGCACUUUCUAGGUGGAUCGGCGGUGCCUAAGUUGCUUGGAACAGCACGUCGCAGAGGGUGACAACCCCGUCUGUGGCGCCGCCGGCCGCUGACGAUGUGCUUUCGAAGAGUCGGGUUGUUUGGGAAUGCAGCCCAAAAUGGGUGGUAAACUCCAUCUAAAGCUAAAUACUGGCGUGAGACCGAUAGCGAACAAGUACCGUGAGGGAAAGAUGAAAAGAACUUUGAAAAGAGAGUUAAAAAGUACGUGAAACCGUCGGAAGGGAAACGAAUGGACUCAGCAAUGCGCCCUCUGAGAUUCAGCCGUGUGGGUGGCGUCGGCGCGGGGUUUGCGGAUCUGAAUGGACCGCGGCCCGGCGCUCGCUUCUCCCCGCCGUCGCACUUCUCUGGGGCGCGCGUCAACGUGGGUUGGGACUGGGUCUGAAAGGUGCCGGGAAGGUAGGUGUGGGCCUUCGGGUCCGUUCUGUUACAGCCCGGUUCUCUCAUGGCUCGGGCCCGACCGAGGAGCAGACAGGGCAUGCCUCCUGUGGCUAGGGUCCCGUCCUUCCGGCCGGCUGUCCAGUGUGGUGGACUGCU